UAGCGUAUAUUAAAGUUGUUGCGGUAAAAAAGCUCGUAGUUGGACGUCUGUCGGGGGCGAUCGGUCCGUACAUUGUAUGCCGAUCUGGUUCGGCCUCGGCAUCCUCUCGUGCUACCUUUCUGCGCUUCGUUGCGUGGUAGGCGGUUCGGGACUUUUACUUUGAGGAAAUUGGAGUGUUCACGGCAGGCAUGUGCUUGAACAUAUUAGCAUGGAAUAAUAUUAUAGGAAUUCGAUUCUAUUUUGUUGGUUCCUAGAGUCGAAUUAAUGAUUAAUAGGGACAAUUGGGGGCAUUCGUAUCAACACGUC
rnacentral:rRNA from 1 species